GCCCCCUGGACGAAGACUGACGCUCAGGUGCGAAAGCGUGGGGAGCAAACAGGAUUAGAUACCCUGGUAGUCCACGCUGUAAACGAUGUCGACUUGGAGGUUGUGCCCUUGAGGUGUGGCUUCCGGAGCUAACGCGUUAAGUCGACCGCCUGGGGAGUACGGCCGCAAGGUUAAAACUCAAAUGAAUUGACGGGGGCCCGCACAAGCGGUGGAG
rnacentral:rRNA from 1 species